GAUGAACGCUGACAGAAUGCUUAACACAUGCAAGUCUUUGGCGAAGCUGUGCUUGCACAGCCUAGCCAAGGCGGACGGGUGAGUAACGCGUAAGGAACUUGCCCUGCAGUCAGGGAUAACAGACGGAAACGACUGAUAAAACCUGGUAAAGUCAGGCGGACUCAUGUCCAGCCUGAUGAAAAGAGAUGCUGCAGGAGAGCCUUGCGUCCUAUUAGCUUGUUGGUGGGGUAACGGCCCACCAAGGCGAUGAUAGGUAGCCGGCCUGAGAGGGUGGACGGCCACAAGGGGACUGAGAUACGGCCCUUACUCCUACGGGAGGCAGCAGUGGGGAAUAUUGGACAAUGGGGGCAACCCUGAUCCAGCAAUUCUGUGUGCACGAUGAAGGUUUUCGGAUUGUAAAGUGCUUUCAGCAGGGAAGAAAAAAAUGACGGUACCUGCAGAAGAAGCGACGGCUAAAUACGUG
rnacentral:rRNA from 1 species